AUGAUGAAUAGGAGGCCCAACCUGAAUGGGUCUGGAGGACCAAGGUCCAUCGGUGUUCCGCUGCUCUGUCCUUCUAACAGAGUGCUGCUGGAGAGAGAAGAGGUCAGCCAGGCCCCAGUGAUGGCCUCCUCUUUCAGGCCCUCAGCAUUCCCCUCCCUGCAUGUUGUACCUCGUGCUCCCCCUCCUGACGAAAUCAGGCCCAAGAGGCCCACAGCUGCCCACAGAAAGAGGAGAGACCUCCAGACCCUGCAUGUUGUACCUCGUGCUCCCCCUCCUGACGAAAUCAGGCCCAAGAGGCCCACAGCUGCCCACAGAAAGAGGAGAGACCUCCAGUCCCUGGUUCCUGUCCAGGAUGGAUGUCGUGAGUCUCCCGGUUGGUUUAACAGCAGCAGCUCCCAGCUACCUGCCAAAACCAACAGACGCAGGCGCAACAAGGAGCUUUCCUUCACUGAGGUUCUGAAGAACUACAAGCUUCUGCCUGAUUCCCGGCCCAACAGCCCAGAGAGCCUGUACCAGAAUGAGAUGACACCUAGAAUCCCUGUCAGCAUCACUAGACCUGAGGGGAGGCCUAGCAACCCUCGGCGCCCCACUAGAAGGCCUGUUAGCCCCGUAGGCCUGGUCCAACCUGAUGUACAGCCUUCCAGACCUGAGGGGAGGCCUAGCAACCCUCGGCGAACCACUAGACGGCCUGUUAGACCAGUGGGCCUGGUCCAGCCUGAUGUACAGCCUUCCAGACCUGAGGGGAGGCCUAGCAACCCUCUGGGCCCCACUAGACGGCCUGUUAGACCCGUGGGCCUGGUCCAGCAUGAUGUUCAGCCUUCCAGACCUGAGGGAAGGCCUAGCAACCCUCGGAACACCACUAGGAGAAAAGUUAAGCCCAGUAAUCCUGUGUGUUCCGUUAUGCUUGAGUCCCAACCUACCAGUCCUGUGAGCAUCACCACCAGCACUGUGGACAUAGUCCAGCCUGAGCUCCGUCCUACCUGCCCUCUGACCCUGGAGGAGCCGGCCCUUUCAGAGUCAUGCAGCUUCAGCAACAAUGUGUUUGUUCUCUCCAUGCCGAAAGCUGCCCAGCCAGAGGAGGCUGCCAGAGGGAGGAGCAGCCCACCCAGGGACAUCAUCAGGCCUGAGGCCUUCGUCCAGACAGGACCCCUGCUGGCCAGGAGAGCCCAGAGGGAUGCUCCUCCUCCAAAGAAGGUCCCCAAACCCCCGGUGGCCCCCCGGCCCAAACUGCUGCCCUCCCUGGGCCAGGGCAACGUGUCCCUUGUCAGUGCCAACGCCUGGGAUGAUAAGACCAAGAAGAAGAGAAAGAAAGGUCAGCACUUCUCUUUGUGCAAUGACACAUUUUCUCUAUUGAAUAUAUUGUCAAUAUUGUAUAUGUUGUUUGCUGAUGUACAACCAGGAAUAUGA
rnacentral:lncRNA from 1 species